rnacentral:lncRNA from 1 species
GAGGAGGAGGAGGAGGAGGAGGAGGAGGAGGAGGAAGAUGACCAGGAUAUGUACGAACUCCCUCCUAGUGAAGCUCAGCCCAAGACCAUGAUCCUACCCAGACCGCAGGAGGCUGCCGAAAACAUUUAUCUGGAUCACCCGACCCUNAGGCGCUUCUCUGACCCCAACAGCAUCUCUCAGUCAAAACCACCCGAGGUAACUUCGAAAGCUGGCUCCAGCGAUCAUGGCGGUGAAGCAUCGUUCAACCUCCAGGCCAUUGAAAGAGCUCUGAAAAAAGGAAUUAUGAAGCCUACUGCACUGCCCCCUCUGUCUCUUGCAGCUCGCCGGGUUUCUUUGCCUGUCCUUGGCCCCUC